rnacentral:misc_RNA from 1 species
GCAAACUUGGUCAUUUAGAGGAAGUAAAAGUCGUAACAAGGUUUCCGUAGGUGAACCUGCGGAAGGAUCAUUAAAGAGAAAUGGGUGCCCUCGCGGCCCCGCCUUCUCCAAACCUUUGUGAACCAAAUCUACGUUAUCUUUGCGGGUGCGGGGCCCCCUCACCGGGGCGUCCCCCGCGAAGAGCACGCCAAAACGAUUUAGUUUGAUACAGUUCUGUUCUAUUCGCUUAGCGAAAUAAGAAAAACAACUUUUAACAAUGGAUCUCUUGGCUCCAGCAUCGAUGAAGAACGCAGC